rnacentral:rRNA from 1 species
GACGAGCGCUGGCGGCGUGCCUAAUACAUGCAAGUCGAACGAACUCUGGUAUUGAUUGGUGCUUGCAUCAUGAUUUACAUUUGAGUGAGUGGCGAACUGGUGAGUAACACGUGGGAAACCUGCCCAGAAGCGGGGGAUAACACCUGGAAACAGAUGCUAAUACCGCAUAACAACUUGGACCGCAUGGUCCGAGUUUGAAAGAUGGCUUCGGCUAUCACUUUUGGAUGGUCCCGCGGCGUAUUAGCUAGAUGGUGGGGUAACGGCUCACCAUGGCAAUGAUACGUAGCCGACCUGAGAGGGUAAUCGGCCACAUUGGGACUGAGACACGGCCCAAACUCCUACGGGAGGCAGCAGUAGGGAAUCUUCCACAAUGGACGAAAGUCUGAUGGAGCAACGCCGCGUGAGUGAAGAAGGGUUUCGGCUCGUAAAACUCUGUUGUUAAAGAAGAACAUAUCUGAGAGUAACUGUUCAGGUAUUGACGGUAUUUAACCAGAAAGCCAUGGCUAACUACGUGCCAGCAGCCGCGGUAAUACGUAGGUGGCAAGCGUUGUCCGGAUUUAUUGGGCGUAAAGCGAGCGCAGGCGGUUUUUUAAGUCUGAUGUGAAAGCCUUCGGCUCAACCGAAGAAGUGCAUCGGAAACUGGGAAACUUGAGUGCAGAAGAGGACAGUGGAACUCCAUGUGUAGCGGUGAAAUGCGUAGAUAUAUGGAAGAACACCAGUGGCGAAGGCGGCUGUCUGGUCUGUAACUGACGCUGAGGCUCGAAAGUAUGGGUAGCAAACAGGAUUAGAUACCCUGGUAGUCCAUACCGUAAACGAUGAAUGCUAAGUGUUGGAGGGUUUCCGCCCUUCAGUGCUGCAGCUAACGCAUUAAGCAUUCCGCCUGGGGAGUACGGCCGCAAGGCUGAAACUCAAAGGAAUUGACGGGGGCCCGCACAAGCGGUGGAGCAUGUGGUUUAAUUCGAAGCUACGCGAAGAACCUUACCAGGUCUUGACAUACUAUGCAAAUCUAAGAGAUUAGACGUUCCCUUCGGGGACAUGGAUACAGGUGGUGCAUGGUUGUCGUCAGCUCGUGUCGUGAGAUGUUGGGUUAAGUCCCGCAACGAGCGCAACCCUUAUUAUCAGUUGCCAGCAUUAAGUUGGGCACUCUGGUGAGACUGCCGGUGACAAACCGGAGGAAGGUGGGGAUGACGUCAAAUCAUCAUGCCCCUUAUGACCUGGGCUACACACGUGCUACAAUGGAUGGUACAACGAGUUGCGAACUCGCGAGAGUAAGCUAAUCUCUUAAAGCCAUUCUCAGUUCGGAUUGUAGGCUGCAACUCGCCUACAUGAAGUCGGAAUCGCUAGUAAUCGCGGAUCAGCAUGCCGCGGUGAAUACGUUCCCGGGCCUUGUACACGCCGCCCGUCACACCAUGAGAGUUUGUAACACCCAAAGUCGGUGGGGUAACCUUUUAGGAACCAGCCGCCUAAGGUGGGACAGAUGAUUAGGGUG